CCUAAGUCAUGGCAACAUUUUGAAGACUCACUGACAGCAAGAAUAUGAGACGCCAUUCAGAGAAACAUUUCAACUUGAGGAUCAGAAUCCAGAAUACCGUUUUUAUCGUUGCUGAUUAAAGGAAGCUUCUCUCUCAUACUUAUUUUCUCUGCAAGUCAAAUUAAGGGCGUCAAUGGAACAUCUGCAUUCUGCUGAUAAGAUUGAGAUUUGAAAAAUGCUGUAAAGUGAGAAUGUUUUUUUUUUGUUUGUUUAGUUUUGUGAAACAUGCGCUAACACACAUAACUAUAUGUUCACAUGACAGUAUGACAGUAUGACAGUAGUCGAGAAUAUUAUUGAAUAAAUGACUGUAUCAAUUACAUGCAUCUUCAUUGUUUACUAGUAUAACUGAAAUGUUUAAUUUCUUAAAGUGUCUUGCCUUAAAGAUCUCUGGAAUUUGGUAAGUGAUCUGUAAACAGUAAUGGAUGGUCGGUAUUUGAUGAUGAUUGGUUGGUAUUCGUCUCUAAACAAAUGAACCCGCCCUUCAUUGGAGUCAUUCACCUCUGUUAACCUCAGUUACGCUACAUAAGUAAUAUAUGUGAAACCUCAAACAUAAUGUUAUUUUUGGUUCCAUUUCCAGUUUUUAAGCUAUUUGUAUAAAAAUAAAAAUAAAAACUUG